CGCAAAUUUUCCCCAGUUGUCCAUUCCUCGUCCUCAGUCGUAAUAAUUCUUUGUUAACUUUAACAUUGUCCUAAAAGGCUUUUCCAUCUCAUAUUCAUCACUAUUGGACCAUCCACGACAAUGUCACUCUUCAGAAACCUUUCACAUAACUGUCGACCUCGAACUUUUGCUUUGUAAGCAUUAAAAGAUAAAUAGGAAGAAAAAUCGUCCGCAUGUUUGUUCCGACAUUGUCAAGUCUGGGCAAUGUUUGCACGGCCUAAACCCGCUGCUGCCAACGAAAUCAAGCACGAAAUUGCAGGGCGACAAAGCCACCAAUGCCAUUGUCAGGAACAUUCAGCGGCAAAGCUCCAUCAUAAUUUUUGCAGCUCAAUUCUCUGUUGCUUACAGUUCAAAGAAACGAUUUGUUUAUUGUUAUUAUAGUUUUAGAAGUUAAAUUUUUUAAUCAAUAUCGCUUGGCAAAACUUGACCUGCGUAGGACAACUCAGUAUUAUCGCCUUGUGCACGCGACAUUUAUUGCGCUUAUCAGGACGAGAAUGUGUCGUUUCAACACCGAUGAAGAAGACGAUUAGAUAUGACUUAAUAAACAUAAGUUGAUACGAAAUGGGAUUUUAUUUUCAAUUAGUAAAAACGGUAAUCUAGAACAACUGUUUCCAGAAAUUCUACGUUCUGUCUUCUUAAGAACCUGGACGAUUCUUCGAUUCGAAAGAUACUAUUUCAUAGAGAAACACGUUGAAUAAAUUUGUAAGAUCUCAUAAGGUGUGUAGAUAUUGGAUUAAACCUUUCAUAACACGAA